rnacentral:rRNA from 1 species
CACGGAGGCCCCGAGCGUUGUUCGGAUUUACUGGGCGUAAAGCGUAUGUAGGCGGUGAGGUAAGUCAGAUGUGAAAGCCCGGGGCUCAACCUCGGAACUGCAUCCGAUACUGCCUUACUAGAGGGUUGGAGAGGAGACUGGAAUUCUUGGUGUAGCAGUGAAAUGCGUAGAUAUCAAGAGGAAGACCAAUGGCGAAGGCAGGUCUCUGGACAACUCCUGACGCUGAGAUACGAAGGCCAGGGUAGCGAAAAGG